rnacentral:rRNA from 1 species
GACGAACGCUGGCGGCGUGCCUAAUACAUGCAAGUAGGACGCAGUUGCGAACGGGUGAGUAACGCGUAGGUAACUGCCUAUUAGAGGGGGAUAACUAUUGGAAACGAUAGCUAAUACCGCAUACUAGUAGAUGGACCUGCGUUGUAUUAGGUAGUAGGUAGGGUAAUGGCCUACCUAGGCAACGAUACAUAGCCGGACUGGGAGGGGGAUCGGCCACACUGGGAAUGGGACACGGCCCAGACUCCUACGGGAGGCAGCAGUAGGGAAACUUCGGGAAUGGGGGGAACGCUGAACGGGCAACGCCGCGGGAGUGAAGAAGGUUUUCGGAUCGUAAAGCUCUGUUGUUAAGGAAGCGGUACUUAACCAGAAAGGGACGGCUAACUACGUGCCAGCAGCCGCGGUAAUAC